rnacentral:rRNA from 1 species
AUUGAACGCUGGCGGCAUGCCUUACACAUGCAAGUCGAACGGUAGAGGGGCAACCCUCGAGAGUGGCGAACGGGUGAGUAAUGCAUCGGAACGUGCCCAGUAGUGGGGGAUAGCCCGGCGAAAGCCGGAUUAAUACCGCAUACGACCUACGGGUGAAAGGGGGGGAUCGCAAGACCUCUCGCCAUUGGAGCGGCCGAUGUCAGAUUAGGUAGUUGGUGGGGUAAAGGCCUACCAAGCCGACGAUCUGUAGCUGGUCUGAGAGGACGACCAGCCACACUGGGACUGAGACACGGCCCAGACUCCUACGGGAGGCAGCAGUGGGGAAUUUUGGACAAUGGGCGAAAGCCUGAUCCAGCCAUGCCGCGUGCGGGAAGAAGGCCUUCGGGUUGUAAACCGCUUUUGUCAGGGAAGAAAUCUUCUGGGUUAAUACCUCGGGAGGAUGACGGUACCUGAAGAAUAAGCACCGGCUAACUACGUGCCAGCCGCCGCCGUAA